rnacentral:lncRNA from 1 species
UUUUUCUUGUGGAUUAACUACUCCUAACCUGUGCUAAAACAGAAUUUUCAUGUACAGAUUUUUCUGAAGGUCACAAUAAAGAUACUCUAACUCUACAAUUCUUUAAAAUUCAGCAAGAAGCUGUUUGAAUUGAAACAUCAUGCCUCUGGUUCCUGCUAAGCAUCUCUUUGACAUACGAAGUAAUCAAGACCUUCUGGUGAAACCAGUUCCCUCAUCAGGGUUGAACAUGAUUGAUGGUGAUGCGAGGCUGCUUUGCUCAGGGAAUUUCAAGGAGCUAUGGCAUGUUUAUGCUAAAAGUGAAAUCAUGUGUGCUCCCUUCUCCCCUGCCUCCAGCUCCAUCUGCUUUUUCUACGUCCUAAGUGAGGCUCUGCUCUUGAAUCCUUCACUCCUUUCUUCUCCUGGCAAUAUGGACAUGAUCCCCCUCCAAGUCUGAGGAUAACCUACACCAUAUUCCAAAGUGUGAGAUAAGUAGAAUUUCUCUUUAGGGCUCCAUUCCCCGAAAGAGCAUCUUAGAAGGGAUAUCUUUCCUUUCCUUCCCCUAAACUCAUUAAUUGUAGAAUUUUAUUCCCUAAUGCCAUGUGUCACUAAAUGGCAGAAGAAGGUCAGUACUUGGCUGGCAGGGGUGUUUGUUUGUUUUUUGGCAUGAACAGUGUUUUUUUUUUUCUCUCUCUCUCUCUCUUUUACUUUCCUUGCUUACUUGCUAUUUUUAUUUUUUCAGCUGAACCCACAUCUAAAAAAGAAUUCUUUGCAGUAUCAAGGAAAGAACAAAUAAGCAAUCAAACAGUAAGUUAACACUGGACCCCAAUCUUGUACUUAACAAUUGUAUUGUGCUAGUAGCACCACCACCAUCUCCCUGUACACAAUCUAGUUCAACAUAGAGUCCAUUAGUUCCUCUUGUCUAACAUCUCUCCAUUGGGCUCAUUUGUGAGUUUCAAAUUCAGGGAGGAUUAUUGAAUUAUGACACUUUAUGAAAUUAUUGAGUUCCUAAAGUCAAUCACAAUAGAGACAAUAUCCUCUACAUAAAAAGUUGUUAAAUACCAAGUUUUUGUUUACAAAGUCAAAUUAUCUCAUAGAAAAUGAGGGGCAAAUCUUUAGGAGAUCACUAGAAGCAAACUGUCAGAGGGUUGGCUUUUAAGUUUUUUGUUUAUAUAUUCACCUAUUCUGUUUACUCAACUUCCCAUACUGAAAGAUUGAUUCCAUAUGUUUGAGACCUUAAUUAUAUGCUUAUAUCCUUCUCUGCCAAAUUCACAGGAGUAGCUAUACUUUCAAGUCAUGUUGAAGACCCUCUGAUCCAUCUUUUUGUCUUAUGUGAUAAAUUUAUGCUUUCAUUUUCUUCAACUGGAUUACAUACCCUAAAAAGUUCUCUUCGAGGUAGGAGUUGGCAAAUAAAUUUCCAAUGCAAAAGUAGUAGCUUUUUAUG